rnacentral:ncRNA from 23 species
CUUGAAUUCCGUCUAGAUUUUUACAUAAUGACACCAGAGAUUGUGUUUCAGGAAGUUGGGUGAAAUUCCCACGCUGUGCCGCAACCGUGAUCCUGAGUGAAAUCGAAGGAGAGCCGGAAAACUAGCAAUCUUUAGAGUAAAAGUU